AACAAAAUAACAAUAUGGGCAAGAAUAAUACAUUAAUCGCAUUCUCAAACUUGUCACUGAUUCAGUUGGAAUUAUAAUCCAUUAUAAACAAAUUGUUUUUUUUCUCAAUCUUGUCAAUCAAAUUAUAACUCAAACUUUUUCGGAGGAGGUAGAUAAAUAUUAAUUGGAAUAAAUAAAUGAUGGGUGUUUUUUAUAAAAUAUAAAAAAUUGGGGUAAUUUUUAAAUAUUUAAAACUUCCCAAAUACUAGAACUUACCCAAAUACUAGUUUUAUGUAGAACUUGGGAACUUGGGAUAUUUACCAAAUAUAUUUGCCAAGUAAUGGCCAAUUAUAUGGCAAACACUAGUUUCCAAGUUUUUCCCAAAAAUAUUUGGGCCAAACGGCACCUAACUGUUUGUUAGGAUGGUUGCUUAUAUAACGUUUCAAAUAGAUUCUGUACCCAUUCAUGCUAUGCUCAUACAAUGGAUUCUCUUUUCUCUCAUGCUUCUACCAGAGCACUGAGUGUUGCUGGUUGGGGUAGUGGAAGCUGUGGCGGUGAGUAUAGUAGGUGACUUUAAAGAGGCAAUGAUGAUUUUUGUUAAUGUUUAAUUCCUCUCUAAGUUGAUUAAUCGGGCAUUUGAGAUUAUCCGACCCGUAUCUUGGCGGGGCACGCUCCCAGCUUUUCUGGUGGUUUUUGCAGCCAGGGUGUUGUUGGACUCUCUUGUUGCCCGAGCUUAAUACAGAUCUGAGAAUCAAAUUUUCUCUAUUCAGCUUGGCUUUUUUGUUAUAUUUAGGGUGUGUUUGGUAUGUAGGAAAAUGUUUUUUUUUUCGAAAGUUGAGAAACAAAAAGCAAAAAGCUCUGAAGGGAAAGAAUGAGGCUAAGAGCUGAGGAUUUUUUAUUAAAAGGGUGGUUGCCUCUCUCAACAUCCAGCCAAUGAUUUCUCCAUUAAUGUAAGAAUCCCAACAACCCUCUUAUCAAGUUAAAACAGAGUGAGUAUAUGAUUAUCAACUUCUGUUUGAAAUGGGUUUCUAUGCCCUUCAACUCUUUUUUUCAAUUCCUUUUUAAUGCUUCCGCCGGAGCAUUGAUUGUUGCCAGUGGAACUGGUGGAAGCGAUGGUGGUGAGUAUAAUCGAACGGCUUGAAAGAGGCGAUGAUGAUUUUUGCCAAUUUUUAUUCCCUUCUGAGCUGAUUAAUUGGGCAUUUGAGGUUAUCCAACCUGUAUCUUGGCAGGGCAUGCUUCUAGAUAUUUUGGUGGUUUUCGCAGCCAUGGCAUUGUUGGACUCUCUUGUUGCCCGGGCUUAACACAGAUCUGAGUCUCAAUUUUUCUCUAUUCAACUAGGGCUCUUUUUUGUUUAAUAUUAAGGGUGUGUUUGGUAUGAAGGAAAAUGUUUUCGCGGGUUGAGGAACAAAAGUCAAAAAGCUCAGAAGGGAAAGAAUGAGACCACAGAGAGUUGAGGUUUUUUUAUUGAAAGGGUAGUUGCUGCUCUCUGCAUCAGCCAAUGAUUUCUCCAUUACUGUAAGAACCCCAAUAACCCUUUUAUAAAUUUUAGGAAAAGCCACCUAAUUAGACAUACAUGUAUACCAUAUCUACUAAUCUAACCUAUAGUUUCAAUCUACUAUUCCAUUAUUUAAUAAUUUUGUACCAGAUUAGGAGUGAGAUACAUCACUCCUUAAAAUUAGCCUUAAAUAGAGCCCUUAAUUAUCUAUCCACUUAAUUCUCUCCAUAAUUUAUCCCUUCACUCCAAAUCAGCCCACUCUCUUUCCUAAGUUUCCCCUCCCACGUUUCUUCACCAUUCUUUCUCCUCCUCUCUCACACAAUCUUCUUUUGUUAAAACCACCUCCAUUACUGCACUUUCAAACCUCCCCAACUGCCAUAGGUUGGAUUUCAUCGACGGAGAAAUCUAAAUCAAUUUAUUAAUACUUAGAUAAAUCUAAAUCUAUUUAUUUUCUCUUUCAAGCAGUUCCUUCUUCGUGUUCGUUGAUUUUGAGGUGAGUUUUAUCAGAUGCAUAGAAUAAACUAUACCUACAUCCAUUACUGCAUUUUCAAAGCUCCCCUUUUGAACUGAUUAGUCGGGCAUUUGAGAUUAUCCAACUCGUAUCUUGGCGGGGCAUGCUCCCAGAUUUUCUGGUGGUUUUUGCAGCCAUGGCGUGGUUGGAUUCUCUUGUUACCCGGGCUUAACACAGAUCUGAGCCUCAAUUUUUCUCUAUUCAGCUUGGAUUUUUUUUAAAAAAAUAUUUAGGCUGUGUUUGGUAUGAAGGAAAAUGUUUUCGUGAGUUAAGAAACACAAAGCAAAAAGGUCAGAAGGGAACGAAUGAGGCUACAGAGAGUUGAGGAUUUUUCAUUGAGAGGGUGGUUGCUGCUCUCUGCAUCAGCCAAUGAUUUCUCCAUUACUGUUAGAACCCCAACAACCCUUUUAUAAAUUUUAACUGAGGGAGUAAUAUUAACUUUUCGUUUGGAUGGUUGCUGAUAUUAUGUUUCAAAUACUUUCCACACCCUUCCAUGCUAUGCUCAGACAGUGCAUUCUCUUUUCUCUAAUUCUUCUGCCUGAGCAUUGAGUGCAGCUGGUGGGAUGAGUAUAAUUGGUGACUUUAAAGAGGCAAUGAUGAUUUUGGUCAACUUUUAAUUCCCUUCUUAGCUGAUUAAUCGGGCAUUUGAGAUUAUCCGACCGUAUCUUGGCGGGGCAUGCUCCCAGCUUUUCUAGUGGUUUUUGCAGCCAUGGCGUUGUUGGACUCUCUUUUUGCCCAAGCUUAACACAGAUCUGAGCCUCAAUUUUUCUCUAUUCAGCUUGGCUUUUUUUAUUAUAUGAGGGUGUGUUCGGUAUGAACAAAAAUGUUUUCAAGAGUUGAGAAACAAAAAGCAAAAAGCUCAGAAGGGAAAGAAUGAGGCUACAGAGAGUUGAGGAUUUUUCAUUAAAAGGGUGGUUGCCUCUCUCAGCAUUCAGCCAAUGAUUUCUCCAUUAUGGAUUUCUAUUCCCUUCAACUCUAAUUUUAAUGCUGCUGUCGGAGCAUGGAAUGUUGCCGGUGGAAGCUAUGGUGGUGAGGAUAAUCGGACGGUUUGAAAGAGGUGAUGAUUAUUUUUGUCCAUUUUUAUUCCCUUUUGAGCAGAUUAAUUGGGCAUUUGAGGUUAUCCGACCUGUAUCUUGGAGGGGCAUGCUGUUUUUUUCAGCCAUGGCGUGGUUGGACUCUCUUGUUGCCCGAGCUUAACAUAGAUCUGAGCCUCAUUUUCUCUAUAUCAACUGGGAAAAUGUGAUUUAGGGUUCGUUCGGUAUUGGAGACGAGUGGGGAAUCUGAGUAGCUCAGUUGGUUGAACUUUUACCUUGUUGGUGAGGGUUCCAUUUUCUUCCUUGUAAUUCCCUCCCCUAUUUCAUCUUCCCCAACCCCCAUUUUAUUUUUUUAGAAGGAGAGAGAGAGGAGUUAUGUAGGUGUUGUUGAGUAUAAUUGACGGCUUGAAAGAGAGUGAUGAUUUUGUCAAUUUUUAUUCCCUUCUGAGUUGAUUUAUCUGGCAUUCGAGUUAUCCGAUCCGUAUCUUGGCGAGGCAUGCUCCCAGAUUUUCUGGUGGUUUUUGCAGCCAUGGUGGUUGUUGGACUCUCUUUUGCCCCAUUUUCACACAGAUCUGAGCCUCAAGUUUUCUCUAUUUAGCCUGGAUUUUGUUUUAAUAUUUAGGGUGUGUUUGGUAUGAAGGAAAAUAUUUUCAAGAGUUGAGAAACAAAAAGCAAAAAGCUCAGAAUGAAAAGAAUGGGGCUACAGUCUACAGAGAGUUGAGGAUAUUUCAUUGAAAGGGUGGUUGCCUCUCUCUGCUGUCAGCCAACGAUUUCUCCAUUGAUGUAAGAAACCCAACAACCCUUUAAUCUAUUUUAAAUGGAGGGAGUAUAUUAUUAACAACUCAUUUGGAUCGUUGUUACAUAUUGUUUCAAAGGGUUUAUAUGCUUUUCAACUCACUUUUUUUCUCUUCCAUUUUUAAUGCUUCCCCCGGAAUAUUGAAUGUUGUCGGUGGUGCUGGUGGAAGUAGCACUCGUGAGUAUAAUCUUUGGCUUUUAAUAGGCGAUGAUGAUUUUGGCCAAUUUUAUUCCCUUCUGAGCUGAUUUAUCGAGCAUUUGAUGUUAUCCGACCUGUAUCUUGGUGGGGCAUGCCACUAGAUUUUCUUGUGGCUUUUGCAGCUAUGGCGUCCUGGACUCUCCUUUUGCCUGAGCUUAAAUACAGUCUGAGCCUCAUUUUCGCUGUUAGUUUUGGUAAACAAAAGGUUAGGGAAAUGAACAAAGCAAAAGUUCAAAAGGGAAAGAAUGACGCUACAGAGACUUUAGGAAUUUCAUUGAAAGGGUGGUUGCCGCUCUCUGCAUUAGCCAACGAUUUUUCCAUUACUAUAAGAUUCCCAACAACCUUUUUAUAAAUUUAACGGAGGGAGUAAGAGUUUGUUUGGAUGAUUGCUUAUAUGACUUUUCAAAUAGUGUCUACACCCCUCCAUGCUAUGCUCAUACAGUGCAUUCUCUUUUCUCUAAUGCUUUUGAGUGCUAUUGGUGGGGGUAGUGGAAGCUGUUUGGGUGAGUAUAAUUGGUGGCUUGAAAGAGGCGAUGAUGAUUUUUGUCAAUUUUUUAAUUCCUUUCUGAGCUGAUUAGUCGGGCAUUUGAGAUUAUCCGACCUGUAUCUUGGUGGGGCAUGCUCCAAGCUUUUCUGGUGAUUUCUGCAGCCAUGGUGUUGUUGGACUCUCUUGUUGCCCGAGCUUAGAACAAAUCUGAGCCUCACUUUCUCUAUUUCAAUUGGGAAAAUGUUGUUUAGGGUUUGUUUGGUAUUGGAGACGAGUUAUGUGGGGAAUCUUGUAGCUCAAUUGGUUGGCUACCUUAACUUUCAACUUGUUGGUGAAGGUUUCAUUCUCCACCUUUUAAUUCUCUCCACUAUUUUUUUUAAUGAGAGAGAGAGAGAGAGAGAGAGAGGAGUUAUGGAGGUGCCGCUGAGUAUAAUUGACAGUUUGAAAGAGAGCAAUGUAUUUAGUCAAUUUUUAUGCCCUUCUGAGCUGAUUAAUUGAGCAUUCGAGGUAAUCCGACCUGUAUUGGCAGGGCAUGCCACCAGAUUGUCUGGUGGUUUUGCAGCCAUGGUGUUGUUUGACUCUCUUUUUUCCCGAGCUUAACACAGAUCUAAGCAACAAUUUUUCUCUAUUCACCUUGGAUUUUUUUAAUUUUAUAUUUAGGAUGUAUUUGGUAUGAAGGGAAGUGUUUUUGAGAGUUGAGAAUCAAAAAGCAAAAAACUCUCAGAAGGGAAAGAAUGAAGCAACAGAGAGUUGAGGAUUUUUCAUUGAAAGGGUGGUUGCCUCUAUCUGCAUUCAGCCAAUGAUUUCUCCAGCACUCUAAGAAUCCCAACAACCCUUUUAUCAAUUUUAACGGAGGGAGUAUAUCAUUUACAGCUUGCUUGGAUUGUUGUUGUAUAUCGUUUCAAAGGGGUUCUAUGCCCUUCAACUCUUUUUUCUUUUCUUUUCUUUUUUUGAUGCUUCUGCUGGAGCAUUGAAUGUUUCCGGGGGAGCUGAAAGCGGUGUUCGUGAGUAUAAUCGGUGGUUUUAAAGAGGCGAUGAUGAUUUUUGCCAAUUUUAUUCCCUUCUGAGCUGAUUAUUCGGGCAUUUGAGGUAAUCCGAUCCGUAUCUUGGCCCGGCAUGCCACCAGAUUUUCUGGUGAUUUUUGCAGCCAUGGCGUUGUUGGACUCUCUUUUUGCCUGAGCUUAACACAGAUCUGAGCCUAACUUUCUCUGUCAGUUUAGGGAAACUAAUGGUUGGGAAAAUGAACAAAGCAAAAGCUCAAAAGGGAAAGAAUGAGGCUACCGAGAGUUGAUGAUUUUUCAUUGAAUGGAUGAUUGCCUUUCUCUGUAUUCAGCCAAUGAUUUCUCCAUUACUGUAAAAAGUCCUUCUAUCAAUUUUAUUGGAGGGAGUAUAUUAUUAACAGUAGCUUGGAUUGUUGUUAUAUAUCAUCAAAGGGUUUCUAUGCCCUUCCACUCUUUUUUUUUCUUUUAUUUUUUUAAUGCUUCUGUCAGAGCAUUGAAUGUUGCCAGUGUAGCUGAUGGAAGCGAUGAGGGUGAGUAUAAUCAGACGGCUUGAGAGAGGCGAUGAUGAUUUAUGCCAAUUUUUAUUCUCUUCUGAGGUGAUUAAUCGGACAUUUGACGUUAUCCGACCCGUAUCUUGGCGGGGCAUGCCACCAGAUUUUCUGGUGGUUUUUGCAGCCAUGGCGUGGUUGGACUCGCUUUUUGCCUGAGCUUAAGCACAGAUCUGAGCCUCAAUUUACUGGACUCCAUUACUGUAAGAAACCCUAUAACCCUUUUGUCAAUUUUAAUGGACGGAGUAUUCUAACAUCUUCAGGGUACUAUAUAAACAAAAGUUCUGGGAAAUGAAUAAAGCAAAAGCUCAGAAGGGAAAGAAUGAGGCUACAGGGAUCUGAGGAUUUUUGUUCCAAGGGUGGUUGGUUGCCUCUCACUGAAUUAGCCAAUGAUUUCUCCAUUACUGUCUCCUUUUUUGUACCUGGAUUUGUUGUACUUGAACGGAGGGUCUUUCGGAAACAACCUCUCUGCCUCCACAAGAUAGUGGUAAGGUCUGCGAACAUUCUACCCUCCCCAGACUUCACUUGUGGGAUUUUACUGGGUAUGUUGUUGUUCUUGGUGGUGAUGGUGGUUGCCUCUCACUGAAUUAGCCAAUGAUUUAUCCAUAACUGUAGGAAUCCCAACCCUUUUAUCAAAUUUAAGUGGAGGAGUAUAUAAUUAACAGCUCGUUUGGAUGGUUGUUACAUAUUGUUUCAAAGGGUUUUUGCGCCCUUCAACUCUUUUUUUCCUUCUUUUUAGUGCUUUCGCCAGAUCAUUGAAUGUUGCCGGUGGAGCUGGUGGAAGCAUGGUGGUGAGUAUAAUCGGACGGCUUGAAAGAGGCAAUGAUGAUUUUUUCCAAUUUUUGUUCCCUAAUGAGCUGACUAAUUGGACAUUUGAGGUUAUUCGAUCCGUAUCUUGGCGGGGCAUACCACCAGCUUUUCUGGGUUUUUUUGCAGCCUUGGCCUGGUUGGACUCUCUUUUUACCUGAGCUUAACACAGAUUUGAGCCUCACUUCUCUGUCAGUUUCGGCAAACAAAAGGUUAGGGAAAUGAACAAAACAAAAUUCAAAAGAGAAAGAAUGAGGGCUACAGUGAGCUUAGGGAUUUUUCAUUGAAAGGGUGGUUGUCGCUCUCUGCAUCAGUCGAUGAUUUCUCCAUUACUAUAAGAAACCCCAACAAUCCUUUUAUCAAUUUUUCCAGAGGGAAUAUAUUAUUAACAGACUUUCGGCAGGGGAAGUCUGCAUACACAUUACCGUCUCAAAUCCCACUUGUGGGAUACACUGGGAAUGUUGUUAUUUGUUGUUGUUGUUGUUUGAGUAUAUUAUUAACAACUCGCUUGGAUGGUUGUUACAUAUCGUUUCUCUGCCUUUCAACUCUUUUUUUUCUUUUUUUUAAUGCUUUCGCCGGAGCAUUGAAUGUUACCAGUGGGAGUGGUGGAAGCGAUGGUGGUGAGUUCCAUUAUUGUAAGAAUCCCACAGCCCGUUCAUCAAUCUUAUUGAGGGGGUACUAUUAAGGGUUUCAUACCCUUCCAUGCUAUGCAUGCUAAUACCAUCUAUUCUCUCUAUCUUUUUUAAAUGCUUCUGCUGGACCAUUGAAUGUUGGCGGUGUGAGUGGCGAGUAUCAUCAAUGGCUUGAAAGUGGCAAAGAUGAUUUUGUCGAAUUUUCAUCCCAUUUUGAACUGAUUAUUUGGGCAUUUGAGAUUAUCUGACCCGUAUCUUGGCAGGGCAUGCUCCAAGAUUUUCUGGUUGUUUUUGCACCCAUGCGUUGCUGGAGUCUCUUUUUUCCCGAGCUUAACGUAGAUCUGAGCCUUUAUGUCGGUUUGGAAACUAUUUUAUAUUUAGGGUUCGUUUGGUUGGAGACUGGUUAGAGUUAUGGCUAUGCAAAUGGUGGCAGCAUAAUUGACGGCUUGAAAGAGGCGAUGAUGAUUUUGUAUAUCUUUUAUACCCUUAUGAGCUUAUCAAUCGAAUAUUUGAGAUUAUCUGACCCGUAUCUUGGCAGGGCAUGCUCCCAGAUUUUCUGGUUGUUUUUGCAGCCAUGACGUUGCCCCUAACACAGAUCUGAGCCUUAAUGUCCAGUUUGGAAAAUAUUUUAUAUUUAGGGUUUGUUUUGUUGGAAACUGGUUAGAGUUAUACAGGUGGUGGUGAGCAUAAUUGACGGCUUGAAAGAGGCGAUGAUGAUUUUGUAAAUCUUUUAUACCUUUGUGAGCUUAUCAAUCAGAGAUUCGAGAUUAUCCGACCUGUAUCUUGGCAGGGCAUGCUCCCAGAGUUUCUGGUGAUUAUUGCAGCCAUGGCGUCGCUGGACUCUCUUUUUGCUCGAGCUUAAUACAUAUCUGAGCCUCAUGUUCUCUCUGCCACGGCGUCGCCAGAUUGCUUUGAGAUGCGUUACUUGCGCCGAGAGUCUAUCCGAAACAACCUCUCUAUCUUUACGAAUUAGGGGUAAGGCUUGCAUACACUCUAUCCUCCCCCAACCCACUUGUGGGGUUACACUGGGUAUGUUGUACUUUCUCUGUCAUUUUGGAAGCUAUCAAUUCAGUAAAACCUAGGCCCAAACCCUGUAUUUAAUUUAAGAACUUCAGUUAACAUGUAUAAUAAUCUAUGAUUUUGUAAAUUUUUCAUUCCAUCCUAGGCUUAUACUAAUCGGGCAUUUGAGAUUAUUUGACCCGUAACUUGGCAGCGCAUGCACCACAUUUUCUGUUGGCUUUUGCAGCCAUGCCGUUGUUGGACUCUCUUUCUGCCGGAGGAAUGAGUCAAAGCAGUGGAGUGUUGACUGGAGAAGAGAUUUUCUUUGCCCAUUAAGGCAAGAUUUAACUCAGAAGGUUUUGUGCUCUUUGUACUAUUUAAUUCCUUGUCAGGAAAAUGGCCUUUGAGCAGUUGCUUUGACUAUGUAAGGGUACUAACAUGACAAGCUUUUAUCUCUGUCUUUCAAUUGAAGUGUUAUGUGUCCGUCCUCAAGUUUGAUGCCCUUUUCUGUAUCUUGAGAAUCGAAAAAUACUGAGGCUAUGAAGAUUAUCUUUAUAAGACUGAAAAUAUUGGAGUCAAUUCCAAGGCCUGGCUUGGCAAAGACAACUUGGAAGGUAUGUGAAGGAGGAUGAGAAAUUGUGUCCCUUCUCAUGAGGCAACCAAUAUUUGCUGCCAUGGCUGGCUUAGCUCUGCUCUUUGAUUAAAUAGGCGAAAAUCUGAGCCUCCUUAUCUCAGUUUAACUUACGUUUGAUCACUGAAACCGUAUCUUUUUGGUACUGAUCUCAUGACAAAUAUAAAAGACCGAAAGAGUUCAUUGCAUACUUAAGAGACUACGUUGAACCUAUUCUCAAACAUAAGGGACUAUAUUUGGCAUUUCUUCCAUUCUAGAUUUGAGAGUCUAUUUGCCUCUGUCUUCUCGACAAAGCAAAAGGUCAAAAGGGAUAGAAUGAGGCCCCGGAGAGUUAAGAGGAUUUUUGUUGAAAGGGUUGCAUCUCUCUGCAUUAGCCAAUGAUUUCUCCAUUACUAUAAAAACUGCAGCAUCUCUUUCUUCACUCUUUUGGAUUAAAGAGCAGUCUCAAAAAAACAGUUAUCUGUUGCAUAUACAGUCAGUCCUCGCUAAAACAGCCAUCCUCUAUGAAAACAUUUCACUGUAACAACCAUAUUUUGACAGUAUUCCCUUUCAGAGGGAGUAUGAUCAGUAUGUAUUUGGAGUUUAAACAUUAUUUGUGAGGAAGCUUGAAGGGUUUCCUCCUUGAUAUAUGCUAAAACCAUGAAUCUUUCUUUCUUGCUUGCUUUCUUUGUGCCUUUACCAGAGCAUUUAAUGCUUCCAGUGGUGGUGGUGACCCGUAUCUUGGCGGAGCAUGUCCCCAAAUUGGUGGUUGUUCAGUCAUGUUAUCAUUGGAUUUCUAUUUGCUUGAGCUAUAACACAGAUCUGAGCCUCAAUUUCUGGGAAAUUAGAAAAAGCUGCACACAUGGGCUGUUUAAAUUGUCAGUGGUGAUAUGAUUGAUGGCUUGAAAGAGGGAAGAUGAUUUUAUCAAUCUUUCAUUCCCUUCUGAGCUUAUUAAUUUGGCAUUUGAUAUUAUCCGACUUGUAUCUUGGCAGUGCAUGCCCCUAUAUUUUGUGGUGGUUCUUGCAGCCAUGGCGAUGUAGGAUCUCUUUUUGCAUCUGUCAAGUUGAGGUGUCCAAGUGAUCACGGUCUAACUUAAAAUUCGUGGCAAGUUUGAAGGGCUAUCUAUGUAUUUGGCCUAUCUAAAGUAACAGUAUAAUACAAUGGGUAGCAACCAUCCAAGCAAGCUGUUAUUGAUUCAUUCGGUCUAGAGAGAAGUUAUGGCAGUAUGAUUGACGGCUUGAAAGAGGCAAUGAUGACUUUAGCAACCUUUCAUUCCCUUAUGAGCUUAUUAAUUGGAGAUUUGAGAUUAUCCAACUCGUAUCUUAGAGGGGCAUAACCCCAGUUUUUCUGGUGUUUUUUGCAGCCAUGUUGUUGUCAAAUCUCUUUUUGCCCGGGAUAUAACACAGACCUUGAGCCUCAAUAUCUGGGAACUCUCCUUAGUUUAAGUCUGAGGUUGCGGUGAAAACAGAGAGCUGUGAGGGAGUUCCUAUGGGUGGUUUUGCCCCUCUGCUGCCAGUGAUCUCUCAAAUGAAAGUUUUUCCAAUUGCAAAACAACCCUUUGUUGAUUGAUUUAUUACUCCCUCCGUUUCACAUUUUAGAGGCUAUGAAGAUUGUUGUUUGUGAAAGAUGAACCGGACAUUUUCCUCUCGAGCUGAAAAGACUUUAGUGUAUGAGACAAAUGUAUGCAUUUCAAUUAGGGUCGUAUUCUAUGGUUACGAUUCUACCAUAUAUGUCUUUUUCAUUAGUGUUUAGACAAUAUUUGGUUGACAUUGAAGAAAAAGUCGUGGUAUGGCAGCUCAGAUGGGUCUUGUGAGGUUUGAAGAGAAAAGAUCCAGUUUUGGUGUUUCUUCUCUUUCUCAAAAGGCUAACUGAUGCUUGCAGUCAAGGCAGUUUUUAAAGCACUUUGGAUUUUUUCUGAGUAAAGUGAAUCUGAGCCUUCCCUGUUACCUUGGUUGUUCUAGAAGAACGAAGCUUUUGUGACUCUGAGAAUCAGGGGUUCCUAAGGGUGGUUGUUCUGUCUCUCUGUUUCACUGUGAGUUCAUAGGCGAUGGAUUCCUUUGUGAUCAAUAGGCCUCGCAUUGCAAAAUGGGAAUGAUUGUGUGCCAAUAUCAUCUAAAAAAUUGAAGUUGUUAAAGAGAGAGUACACUUUUGUUACUUACAACAACACCAUACCCAGUGUAGUUGGUAGUCCCAACAAUGAUGAUGAUGAUGAUGAUUGAUGAAUCCGUCAACUGUGGCCACCCCAAAUAGUUGGGAUCGGCUAUAUUUCUAUCUAAAUCCUUAACCUAAUAAGCUUGAAAUUUCAGAUAUUUGAGCUCAUUUGUAUCUUGGCUUGCCAAAGUUCAGGGAAAGUUUGGGAGCUGGUUUUAUUUCCAUUCUAAUUUGCAGCCAUGGCAAAUUAGCCUUUUCUCUGAUAGUUUUAACAAAUCUGAGCGCAUUUCUUUGUAACUUCCUAUGCCUUCUACUAUAUUAUAGCCUUUUCUUAUGCUUGCAUUUCAAUAGUUUGAGUUUCACUAACAAUUGGUGAUAAGCGUAAGUUUAAGUUUGAGGUUUGAUGAAGGUAGUGUGCUAUGGUGAGCUUCUUUGACCGUGUCAUUCUCUACAGUCAAUUAUAGCUCAGGUGAUUUUCUUUUUAUUAGAAGUCACCCUUUUGGGUGAAAUUACAGAUCACCUCCCUAGUUUGCUUCUAUUAUUACUCCCUCCACUCCCAUUUAUGCUUAUCAGGCUGUGAAGAUUCGUCUUCUGUGGAAGAUGAAUCAGACAUUUUUCUGCUGAGCUGAAGAAAACUGCAUCUUGGCUUGGAAGCUGCUAUGAAGAGGAACUGUGAGUGUGCAAGAAUAAAUAUAGCUCCGACAUAGUGGAGUCCAUUGAACCCUCUUUGCUCUACCUAGCUCUGCCUGGUGGCAGUCAAAGUAGAGUUCAUGACCACUCCAACUGCAAAUCAAGAACGGUAGGAUACUCCUGUGGAGUCAAGAAGCUACCAUUUACAAAAGCUAUAUGCAGAAAGAAAUGUUCCUUCUGUGUGAUCACCUGCCACUAGACUACUGGUAAGUUCUAAAUACUGAGCUAAUUGAUAGGCUCACACAAAGAUUGCAGAUGACCGACUAUGAAAGCGGAACACGAACCUAUUUCUGCUAUUUUGGGUUCUUAUUGAGAGUAGCGAAAUCAACCUGUUCUUAUUGAGAGUAGCGAAAUCAAGGUUGAUGAUGAAGUCCUUGGGUUAAUGAACCUUCGGGCAGAUACUGGUAGGUUCUAAAUACUGAGCUAAUUGACAGGCUCACACAAAGAUUGCAGAUGACUAACUCUAAAAGCGGAACACGAAUCUAUUUCUGUUAUUUUGGAUUCUUAUUGAGCGUAGCGAAAUCAAGAUUGAUGAUGAAGUUCUACAUUUAUGAGCCUUCGAUGGAUCUUGGAUCAACGGGUAGAGCGAAGAAGCUCUUCCACAACAGAUGUCUUGAUCCUGGAAGUUAUUUCAAUAUUUUUUCAGUUCUAGGUGAUAUUAUGUCAGUGUUCGAUUUAUUAUCAUUGUUAAUGUCCCUAAAACUGUUAAAGUUGGCUACAUUAUGCAAGUUUUCGACAUAACAUCUGUAAUAUUUUGCGAAAAAAUCUAU